UCUCUCGUAUUUUCAUUUCUGAUUUCAUUUUCUCUCUCCAGUUCUUACGAAAAACUUUAUGGGGUUUCAAAAAUUGAUUUUGAGCAGCGACAAUCGGUUGAUUUUGAGCAGAGACAAUCGAUUGUGUUUUUCAGUUUGAUUAAAUCGAUUAAUUUCGAUAUUUGUUCUAGUUUUCAGCGCACGAUUUCACUAUUGUUAUUGUAACAAUUGUUCUUGGGUUUUUGUUCUAUGAAAUUUGAAAGAUCCAAAGGUUUGAAAAGUGUGUUAUGGAUGGCGAACAUAGAGAUCAUAAAUCCACCACCAGGACAAGGAGAAGCAUUCGUUGCGUUGCAGUAGAAAAAAAUGAGGGAAAAUGAAUCCGAGAAACGUAAUCUGCAGAUUCAACAAGCUAAGUAUAUAAAUAAUUAUCCUCUUCUAUUAAUCAUGAUGCUCCGAUCUUAGAUUUACAAUCAACUACUCUUUCUAGUUGUAUCAAUGUAAUUGUUUCGAAGAAUCUUGAGCAAAAUUUUCAGAUUUGUUCUUCGUCAAAAUCGUCCUAACUAUCAAUUUCAAGAUGCGAUCAACAACGAUAUGAGGAACAAUUUGAUGGUUUCUCUGAAUCCGAUAAGGAUGUUUUGAGUUCAUGGUGUUGGAUUGUGCUCAAGGAAUGGUAGGAGAAUUAUGGUCUGUUUAUCGAGAAGCACAGUUGGAGUCGACCACUAAAUUCAGGAAGCUUUUAUCUCUUGCGCGUGACCCACCAAUUGAUAAGGUAAUUAAAGCCGGUGUUGUCCCACGAUUCGUAGGAUUUCUUGCAAGGAACGAUCUUCCUCAACUCCAUUUUGAGGCAGCGUGGGUUUUGACGAAUAUCGCGGCAGGCACAUCAGAGCAUACACAAGUUGUGAUUCAACAUAGUGUUGUUCCAAAGCUUUUGCAACUUCUUAGCUCUGGAAAUGCUGAUGUUCGUGAACAGGUCUACAUCAAUGUCCUAUCUUUGUCCUAUAAACUUACUUCUUAGCCAGUGGAUGUAACUUUUGCAUAUGACAUGGAUGUGUAAAUGUUGAUUACACGUGCAUAUGACAUGUGUAACUGCUGCAUACAUAUGCCAUAUGCAUGUGUAACUGUUGCAUACACAUCUAUUUUCACUUCUCUCUGGUGGUGGUGGUGCUGCUGUUAACUCUUUCUUGUAUUGAAGACCAAAUUACGGCUCCUAUCGAAGAUAUGCAAACAUUUUGGAGGGAGGAAGACAAGAAGGAAACACAAAGAUU